GGAGUUUGGGCCGUGUCUCAGUCCCAAUGUGGCCGGUCGCCCUCUCAGGCCGGCUAUAGAUCGUCGCUUUGGUGGGCCGUUACCCCGCCAACUGGCUAAUCUAACGCGGGCCCAUCUCUAUCCACCGGAGUUUUUCACACAGAACCAUGCGGUCCCGUGCGCUUAUGCGGUAUUAGCAGUCAUUUCUAACUGUUAUCCCCCGGAUAAAGGCAGGUUGCCCACGCGUUACUCACCCGUCCGCCACUAACUUAAAACGGUGAAGCUUCAAUAGCAAGCUAAAUCCGCUUCGAUGCUUUAAGUCCGUUCGACUUGCAUGUGUUAAGCACGCCGCCAGCGUUCAUC
rnacentral:rRNA from 1 species